CAUAGAUCUAACUCGGUCACAAGGCGAGGUCGCAUGCGCACACGUGACAACUCAACUCUACCGACAAAACGUUUUGCAUUUUAUAAUUUACUUGUUAGGUGGAAAUGUAUUUGUGUGUUUUUGUAAUUUUAAUUAGUGCUGUUUGUGCGCAGGAUUGCAGGACAAGUGGACAGACGUGUGGUAACUACGAACAAUGCUGUGGCGGAUGCUGUUAUGACGGGCAUUGCAUCGAUACAUACAGGUCGUGUUUGCAGAGUUUUGAUGUGUGUCGUAACCAUGCCUGCAUUGGUGAGGAGAACUGCGUGGAGUACCGACCGCCAGGCUGCCUUCGAUGUGAACCAUUACCAAUUUGUCGGGUAUAAGAAAAGCUAUGUUACGGUAUUGUGAUCUCGAAAUCGAAAUGUGUUUCGUAAGCGGUAAUGAGAAGGGAAAUUCAUAUUAAAUCAUGUUUUCUAAUCAUAAGAGGCAUAUUGUAAGAUUGAAUUUAAAAAUAUAUUUUGUUCAUAUAUAUAUAAUUAUUAUAAUCGUUAGUGGUUUAAAUAACAUAUUUAUAUUAUUUAUA